GGCAUAUUAGCUCAGUUGGUUAGAGCGUCAUGCUAAUAGUGCAAAGCUCGUAGGUUUGAUACCUACAUGGGCCA
rnacentral:tRNA from 1 species